UACGUAGGGUGCGAGCGUUAAUCGGAUUUACUGGGCGUAAAGCGUGCGCAGGCGGCCCGUUAAGACAGGUGUGAAAUCCCUGGGCUCAACCUAGGAAUUGCGCUUGUGACUGGCGGGCUCGAGUACGGUAGAGGGGGGUGGAAUUCCUGGUGUAGCAGUGAAAUGCGUAGAGAUCAGGAGGAACACCGAUGGCGAAGGCAGCCCCCUGGGCCUGUACUGACGCUCAUGCACGAAAGCGUGGGGAGCAUACAGG
rnacentral:rRNA from 1 species